CAGAGUAGGUGCUUGUGCGUAAAGUGCCAGACGGACGGGGAGUUGCCGGCUGGACGAAAAGCGUUCGCUUGCGGUACAGGCAUCGCAUCCCGCUG
rnacentral:ncRNA from 1 species